rnacentral:rRNA from 1 species
UACGGGGGGGGCAAGCGUUGUUCGGAAUUACUGGGCGUAAAGGGUUCGUAGGUGGCUCGCUAAGUCAGACGUGAAAUCCCUCAGCUUAACUGGGGAACUGCGUCUGAGACUGGCAAGCUUGAGUGCAGGAGAGGAACGCGGAAUUCCAGGUGUAGCGGUGAAAUGCGUAGAUAUCUGGAGGAACACCGGCGGCGAAGGCGGGUUGCUGGGCCGACACUGACGCUGAAGCGCGAAAGCCAGGGGAGCGAACGGG